UACGUAGGGUGCGAGCGUUAAUCGGAAUUACUGGGCGUAAAGCGUGCGCAGGCGGUUAUUUAAGUCAGGUGUGAAAGCCCUGGGCUUAACCUAGGAAUUGCGCUUGAGACUGGAUAGCUUGGAGUGCGGCAGAGGGAGGUGGAAUUCCACGUGUAGCAGUGAAAUGCGUAGAGAUGUGGAGGAACACCGAUGGCGAAGGCAGCCUCCUGGGCCAGCACUGACGCUCAUGCACGAAAGCGUGGGGAGCAAACA
rnacentral:rRNA from 1 species